UUAUAUUACGUGAAAUACAUGAUUUAAUUAUACUCCAAAAACAAAUUAAGGACAGGCCUUCUACACAAAUUGGAGGCAGCUAAAUGCUCUUUUGUGCCUGCAGCCCUCGGGUUGUUAAAGAGGCUGCUGAUGCAUGAGAAGUAAGUGACUGAUUUAACUCAUUGGGAUGCAGGAAGCGACCUGCCCUCUUUUGAAAAAAAGCAAGAGAGAGAGAGAAAGAGAGAGAGUUCGAGCUUGAGAAGAGAGAGGGAGGGGAGAGGAGAGGAGGGAGAAGGAAAUGACAGAGGGGGGGCAGAGACAGAGAGAGAGAGAGAGAGAGAGAAAGGAGAGAGAGAACGCAGAGGGAGGGAGGCAGGGAGGGAGACCAAACCCCCGCUUUACUGCGUUGAAAGCUUCUGAAUUUCAAGCAGAAAGUAGAAGGAGCUCCAAAGGCAGUGAGCAUCUUUCCUUGGGCUGCGUGUGCCGAGCGUAGACAAUGAAAAUCUCCAUCCCCCUCCCCCAUUCCCACUAGGCUACAAGAUUCUUGUUUUCGUUCCUUCUCACCGGUGGAAAAUGUGUAAAAUCAAAGAUGUAGAGGUGUGUAGUGAUUUUUUCAAAAGCCAACUAACCCACCGCACGGGCUGCGACGCGGAUUACCCGAGCGCACGCCGGCUGUAAGUACCAUCCUUUCCUGCUGUAGCCGGGCUCUGCGUCCCGGGCUGGGCUGGGAGUGUUCGCUUUGUGAGUCGGGUUGUUGCUUGUGUUUUGGUUCACAGGGGCUUCUUCGAAGCUUGCACUUUUCGCAUGUGAGCGGGAGAAGCAUUUCGCCGGUUGUGGGCGUGCAGAACACGAUCCUGGUUGACUUUGAUGCGGUGACUUGGGGUGGCGGGCGGGGGGCGGCGGGAGGCGCUGAGUGGAGGAGUUCCCGCGUCGCAAGCAUCCUUGAGAGCAGCCGGCUCAGCUCGGGGCUGUAAGGUUGGUUCCUGGCAAUGGAUGGAAAUCAGGUCACAGAGAUCCCUAAGCUCGCCGGGCUCCCAGACGCACUUGGGGGACAGAAUGGAAUUGGAAGGAGGGAUCUGAAGAGGAGGAAGGGUACCCGUGUUUCCCCAUCCCGGGCCUAGAAUGGAGCCCCGGCCAGCCGCGGGUCGGGCCCCUCGGUUUUCAGGACUUAUUCUUGCCGAGGUUGGCUCGCACGCCAGCAUCGCGCCUUCGGUGCGUCUUUUAUCUCCAUCUCAAAUAAGGGAUCUUCUUGGGACCAGGACUGAAUGAAGGUGGGAGAGAGGGUGUGUCUCACGGCGCCCAGGAGGGAGAAAUUGUGGUUCUGAGAAGGUAUUUUUUGGCCUCUUGAAAAUGUGCAAGAAUUCCGCGGGCCCAGGCUUUCUUUGUGUGGCGGGCAGCGCCAAGCGCUUUGUGCUUCACAAGGAGAAAAUGGCGAGUCCUAUUGUGUUUAGGCCAUUUUCUUCCGGUACCAGAAUUUUCCCAAGUUCGAAAUACUUCUUCAGAAAGUAGCCUUCUCACGCCCAGGAAAGUGUGAAUCGCUGAGGCUCGGCCCCAUGGCCUGGCGUGGGUGCCGACCUCAGUUUAAAACCAAGGGCCUGUUUUCUUACCGUUGGGAUACUUGUAUCAAAGCACAGAUAUGACCGGUUUGUGCUGAUCGGUGUCCUCCAAAGAUCAACAGCGGCUCUUGGGGUUUGGGAAAAUAAGUGUCUAUUUAAAUAUGCAUAUAUACAUACAUAUAUAAAACAUAUUUUUCCUGAUAAUGUGAAGGAGAAAAUAAAAAAGAAAGACAAUUACAUUUUUGAAAGAGGCAAUAUUUCUUUCCCUUUCUCCUUUCUCCCCCUCAAGGAAACCCCAAGAGAUGUUAAAUGUUACUCUGCCGGGUCAGUCUUUUGUUUUUUAAACUGAAGAUGAAAUGCUAUUUUGGAUGGAAGAAUUAUUCCUCAUCUUAGCCACUGGAACAUAUGCUUUGCUAGAAAAAAAAAUGUAAGGCGUUAGAGAUGGAUUUAGUUUAAUGCUCUUAGCCUGUGUGUGUGUGUGUGUGUGCUAUCUAUAUGCCUCUAUAUAGCGAUGUAAAUAUGGAGAGAGAAAUGAUUGAAAAGGUUGUUUGGCUUUUGCCCCUGAAUUUGUCAUUUUUGUAAUUUUCCCGCACUUGUUAAACCAUAUGUAAAAGUGGAAAAGGAUGCCUAUACAAGAAUGUCUAUGUCUCUUUUGAAAACCGCCAAAAGAAUAUUGCAGGUUGAAAGAUAUUAUUUCCUAUUUACUACAAUUAUUUGGAUCUUUCAAUGGAGUGGUGGUUUUGUCAACUCAAAAAUAAUGAAAUGCAAACUUUCCCUAUCUGCUUCCUGUACCUUCAAUUUGGUGGCAAAUAUAGAAAAAUGAAAACAACUGGGAUGGGGAAGAGAACUUAAAGCCUAUAGCGUUUCCCCCUUUUGAUAUCAUUUUAAAAUGCUAGGGAGUCUAAUUUGUGCAGAAGCGUUGUGACUUUCAUUUUUCAAAAGGUAACACUAGCAUAUCCUUUCAUGUGGAUCAAGACCAUGGACAGCGAACUAAUAUUAAAUCACUGAGCAAAAAGGACUCUAAUAAAAUGUUGAGACCUGAGUGGAAGUUUACAUUCAAAACAUGUUAGAAGUCAAACAUAAUCUUUUUGGUCUUUAAAAGGAAUUUUAGACUGGUAAAAUGUGGCAUUUCAAACUUAUUCUACCAAGUUUCAAAGAAACAAUGAUUAUGUGUUCAGUUUUUAUCCUGCCUUGAAUAGUAUAUAUUAUUUAUCCAAUUAAAAUAAGAUAAAGCCCACCUUUUGGUACUGGUACAUAUAAAAUUUAAAUCUAUCAUUUAUAGAUGUAGAAUGUUUUUCAUAAGGCCUUGAAACAGAAUGGGGAUAGAGAAAUUUUACUAUUUCAGACUGGCAUUGGCUGAAUGACACUACAGAAAAUUAAAUUGAUUUUUAUCAGUGACUGAAUUUCUAAAUGCAUAAAAUUGGGAAAAUUAAAUGCCACUUUGAUAGACAGGAAUAAUAUGAAUGGAGAUAUAAUCCAGCUAUUCCUUUUACCCCUGUGUAGGCAUUGUACUCUAUAACUGACAGUGCAAUGUUGUGAGCAAGCAUUUAUUUUUUUUCCAAGAAAGUCACAGAUUUUUUCAUAUAUACUGCUUAGAUUUGGGGCACAGGAUUGGUUCAGUGUGGCUCUGUGCUGGAGAUCAGCUUAUUUUGUUUUAUACAUUGUUUGAAUAGUCUUUACUCCUUUACAGAAUUAAAAUUCAUUUAAAACAAUUUCAUUUAUGGAUUACAUAACUUAUUCAAAAUUGCUCAUUUAAAUUUCCAGUUUGAUGUGUCUUUUGGCUUAUUUCAUAACCUGACUUUAGUGUGACCUGUAAAGGCCUGGAAAAUCAUAUAAAGCAAAAACAGAAUGCAGGUUAGAAAAAUUAAAAUAGUUUAUAAUUAAGUUAAAAUUACGUCAAUUUAAAAGGACCUUGGAAUUUAUAAAUAAAGUAAUUUUUGAUCUUUAUUCAUCAGCUUUGGCUAUAAAAUGAAACUGCAGUUCUUUGAAUGUGCAGGUUGCUAGAAUUAGAUGCUACAUAUAUUUUGAACACACACACUUAUUUUAAUAUUUUAUUUUUAGACAACGUAUUCAAAGUACUUGAGAAGAAUAUGCAAUGACAUUUUUUCCAUGUCCUAAUCAGGACCAUGGUGAGGUCCCCGUGGUUUACCUAGUGGUGGUCCAGGGCUCUGGUUGGGACGCUGAGUUAUGUUGGCAAAGAGUCAUUGUUUUGAAAGGCACAUUCGUCCGGCAUGGCAUUCGUGAUAAGAUUAAGCAUAAACCUAAACCUUGGCCUGGGGGGAAGGAAGACUGCGGGGUUGAGAAGAGGAGAUGCAGAUUAGCUCUGCUUUUGCUGCUUGCGCACGUAAUUAAGAGGCGGUCCCUCAGCUGGAGCGUGGGCUCUGUCCGGCCUAAGGUGCUUAUUUUCCUGUUACUUGGCCAACCAAGUGUGAGUGAACAGGAGCCCGAGAGCUUAAAUGCGGGAUCUAGAUAAGGUGUCGACGGGUUGUGGGCGCUUGUCUCCAUGUUAGGGAGAGGCAACUGAGAACGGUGACUUUGGCUUGUUUUGAGAGAGCUUGGGUUUUGACAGCAGGACGGCGAAGGGAGCGCUUGGAGAGGCUGGAAGCUCGACGUCUUAGGGAGCUGCCUACGGGCACUGGGUUGACGCCAAGGGGUUGUCGGCAAGGGCAGGGCUCUUGCCCUCUGCUGUACCCAGACUCUGCAAUUGGGGGCUGCAAGCCUUCUGCGGCUCUUUGGUUUCAAGGACACAGCGAGCUGCUCAGGACUUUGGGAGCCAACAUCUGUCUGACUGGUGACGUCAGCAGCCCGUGUAAUCCUCUUGUGCUGAAGGCAGAUGCCUUAUUUGUUUGGCUGGAGCGAGCCAUUAAUCCCUAAUUCUGGAUCAGCAAGCGAGGGGGAAAGACCGGACUGCUCCGACCCACCCCCUCCCUACCCCCACCUCCCACCUUAAAGCACCUUAUACCACGGAAGCCUCUCAGCCUCUUCUUUCCUCUGCGAACGCGCUGAGCAGCGAUUGAAAACGUUUUGGUCCUCUCCAGGUUUGAGCAGGGCUAGCAGGUCUCACUCUGGAUUUCUAGGGCUAUGGGUGCAUGUAAUUCUUUCUCUCAUCGAUCCUUUCGAUUUUCUUGCCGUUCUUGCAGUUUGCAGGGUCCUAAACCAAGAGGGGUGGAGACUGGAGAGUGCGGGUCUGGCGUGUGGUCUAAGGGAGGGGGUGAGGCUGGGGAAAGGGGGUGCAGAAUGCGGGAACGGCUGGAACUGCACAGAAGGACCAUCUGCGGGCGCGUUUUCACGGCUCCAGCUCCCGAAAUCGUUUCUCUGGACUCGGAGGGGCGCAUUCUGGGGUCUCUGCGCAAGACCAGCUCUCAGCUCUCUCUCCUUUCCUCGGACUCUGGAGCGGGAGCGGGCCUUUCCCUCGGGCCGACCACGCCGUAGGGGACGCCAUGAAAAGAGCCGUCGCGCCCGCUGCCUCCUGCCCGCUGCGCAGAGGGCUCCGCCCGUAGAGGUCAACUUCCCUCACCCUUUCCUCUCUCCUGCUCGCCCUCCCUCCGCUCGGCCCAGGCGCUUCCAGCCGCAGACUCUGGCCACAGGCUGAGGAGUGCGAGUCGGCUGCGCUGCCCUGAGCCGAAUCGCCCUUCCGGGCCCAGACCCGAGUUCCGCGCUCCCGGGCAGUGGGAAAGCUUUAGUGAGCAGCCUUUUCUCUCCGCAGCAAACUCGUAGCCAGACCAGAUGGGCCGCCCAGCUCUCUCGGGACUAGGCAGUUUGAUGCCCAUUACAAAUUUUCCUGCUAUGAAAGAAAUUCUAUGUGCGGCAGUUUUGCAAUAAAACAACCCAGGCUUCGCAAUUGGAGAACUUCGGUGCGGCGUGCCGUGGGAGUCCUUUGACAAUCUCAACUUUCAUCUAGGUCUGAAAUUAAAGCUUCUCGGAAUAAUUUAGGAACAGCUUGACCCGUUGAGACACUCAAGGACAACCCUCCAGGGAAAUAGUUUAUUUCCUUCCUGGGAACAAGAUGCUAGCGCGGUGCACCGGGAGGUAUCCGGUGUCAACAAUGCCAGAACGCCCUCUGCUGCCUCAAAGAGGUAGGACAUCAGUUACAAAAGCCAGAUGGCACAGUGGCAAUAAGCGGAGGAAACAUUAAGCUCUUAGAAACGUUUAUCUGUGAAAUGUAAAAGCGCUCAUCACAUUCUACUUUUGAAAGGGCCACCUGAUUUUGAUUUUGAGCACUCCUUGGAUGAUAUCUUCUAUUCUGGAGGAUAAUGAAAAAUCCGUGUUUUGAAAUUUUCAGAUUAUUUCUGUAGUUAUAUUUCUCCACCCUUUCUCGAAUUUUAUAUGGAAAUACGAAGUUGCAAGUCGAAGUGAAAAACCUUUGUGUAAACAGGUGAGUGGAGAAGACGACCUGACUUCUCUAGAUAACUAAGAUCUAAUAAAGAGAGAAAUCUUAAUUAAAAUAAAGAUACCGAGCACAUGUUGUUGCAUUAGUUUAAAAAGAUAAUAAUAAAAAGAAAUUAAGUCUCGAUGUAAAUAAUUGUUUUGUUGUUUUGUUUCAGUGAUUAAUCCAAAUUUUGACCAGGCUUUAAGUUUUGAAAUAAGAAAGUGAAUUAUUUUAAAGAAGAAGAAAAAUUUGCUUCAUUUUAAUGUGUACACUAUUUUUGCCCUUAAAACCUUUACAAUAUACUUAUACACACACACUCAGCUUGCAAACCCUCCUUUAGAAAAUAACCCACUCUGAGUAGAAGUAAUCAGAUAUGGUAGCAGCAUGGGCAAAGUCAGAAGAAACGUUAUUUGCAUUAAAAAUGAGUUUUUCAGUAUGGAAAAUCAAUUACCAAAUGAAACAGAGAUUUUUGUUAAAGGUUCAAACCUUUUUAAAUUUUUAUGUUAUAGGGUUUAUAUUGAUUAAAAUAAAUGUACGUUUGUAGUUAUUCAACAUUAUGAAUUUCAAGAUUGCUGCCUAUUUUGAAACACACACCUUUGCCAUGAAGUCUGUUGUUGCAUAUAUCAAUGCUGAUGUAAUAAAAUGCUUCUAUUAACUAUGUGGUUGUUAAAUAAAUCUUGUAAAAAUAAAGUUCUGUUUAUUUUAUGGUGUCAGAACAAAAUAGCUAUUUUUUUUUAUUUUAUGCUGUCAGAACAAAAUAGCUAUUUUAAAUCACUUAUUUUAAUCUUAGCUUUUAAAUGAAAAUGCCUAUGAGAAUAUUAAGCUCUAAGAUUGUUGAGGAUACUAAGAUAAAAUUAAAAAUUGUAUGAUUUUAUAAUUGGCUAUAAUUAAAAAAUCUUGCAUUGAUUAAAUGUUAAAUCAGGUUAAAUAUUUGACCAAUGUGUCAAGUUCCAUAUAAAUAUGGGUACAUUUGUCUUCUGAAAGCUAUUUCUCCAAAGAAUGCACUUACAAAUUUAUGGCAUAAUAAGUGAAAAAAUGCUAGAACUUUUAUGUUUUUAUUUUAAGCAUCCUUUUAAAAAUUAAAAAUAUUAUUUUUUUCUUUUACUUAAUUUAAAUUUCUUCCUAAAUAAAUGCACAUUUUAUCCAGGAGAAAAUAAAUAGUGACAUAAAUUUGCUAUACUUCUUAUAGUUAUUAUAAUCAGUUUAAAAACAGCUUCUAGGUAAAUAAAAUAUAUAAUAAAAUGUAAAUUUAAAAUGUAAAUAAAAUGCAGCAAAUUCGUGGGUGGAAGACAUGAACAUGACUUUUUUCUAUUUUAAAAACUAUUUGAUGUAUUCUAAAUAUAUGAAAAAGAAAAAGAAAAGAAAAACAGAAGAGAACCAACUAAAAGAGCUUCCCAUAUGUCCAAUAGAUGCUGCCCAAAGUAAAACCAUGCUCUAAUAUUUGUUAUUCAAAUUUGCAUGUAAAGGUUUUUAACCUCCCUUUAUUUUAUAUUUCUACAGGGUAACAUAUUGUAAUGGAAACACUCCUCCUAGUUUAUUCUGGCUAUGAAAAAACCUAUAGAAACAUUCAUUUCCAUAGGAGUAAUAUUUAUCUAAACAGUAUAUUUAGAAAAAGCACUAAUAGAACACAAGCAACUAAUUACUGAUGCUUUUAAGGAGUAACUGCAACAAUAAUUGUGCACUGUCUCAGAUGAAAUCAAUAUAGAAUUUAAUAUUUGUAGACCACAAAAAAGCCCUAAUGGUGAACCUCAGAUUAGAAAGAACAGGCUUUAGCACACUGUGUAUCUUUGUAGUAUUCAGACUCAGCUGUCAUUACAAUUUCCAUCAGCUGCUGUUAAGUAACUAACAUACUAUAGAAAUAUGGGUAGGAAUUGAAAAUAAAAUGCUUUAAGAAGGAAUAAAAUUGGGAUGUCAAGAAAUCAAAAGUGAUUGUCUUUAAGAUAGAAAGUUAGUAGUUACAAACUGCAGGGAAAAUAUUUAUAUUGAUGAGCAAAUCUCCAGGAAAGUAAAAAAGUUCAGAUGUUGGAUACUACUAAGGCAAAAUAGAGUGAAAUGGGAAGAAACUAAGUCUUUGAGACACAUGUAGAAAGAAUGAAGAAGACUCUUGACUUCAAUUUUGUUUUUAAUUUUCCAGUAGAAGAUAUUUAUGCAGAGAAACCUUAAGGAAUUUUUCGUUGUCAUAUGUCACAAUUUUGAUCUUGUUGAAUUAAGAAAGACAGGGAAAAGUUGAAAAACAAAUAAGCAAAAUAUGAAUUUACUAUUGAACUCUUAUGGGUUUGCAACACAGAAUUGUGUUUUUCCUUUCCUACUUGUUGGACAAGUACUUUUUAAUCAUUAAAAUAAGGAAAAUAUUGAAAAUAUAAUUGUAUACAUGGUAUGGUUGUCUCCCCUUAGCUUUGGCUCGCUUUCUGUGGUUUUAGUUACCCGCAGUCAACUGUGGUCUGAAAAUAUUAAAUGGAAAAUUCCAGAAAUAGACUAUUCUAAGUUUUAAAUUUCGUGCUGUUUUGAGCAGCAUAAUAAAAUCUCGCACCGCCCUACUUCAUCCCACCCAGGAUGUGAAUCACCCUUUGUCCAGCAUCUCCAUGCUAUAUGUAGCUACCCCUUAGUCACUUAGUAGCCAUCUUUAUGAUCACAUCUACUGUUGCAGUAAUAUCACACAGCAUCACUUAUGUUCAAGCAACACUUGUUUUGCUUAAAAUGACUGCAAAGCUCAAAAGUAGUGAUGCUGGGAAUUCAGAUAUGCCAAAGAGAAGCCAUAGGUACAUCCUUUAAGAUAAAAGGUGAAAGUUCUCAAAUUAAUAAGGAAAGAAAAAAUAUUGCAUACUGAGGUUGCUAAGAUCUAAUGUAAGAAUGGAUCAUCUAUUCCUAAAUUUGUAAAGAAUGAAAGGUAAAUUUAUGCUAGUUUUGUUGUCUCACUUCAAACUGUAAAUGUUACAGCCACAGUACAUAAGUGCUACUUAAAAUGCAAAAGGCACUAAAUUUGCUGUUGGAAGACAUGAGCAGAAAUGUGUUCCGAUUGAUGACAAUCAGAUUCAGUGCUAUCCGCAAUUUCAGGCAUCCACUAGGGGUCAUGGAAUGCAUCCUCUGCAGAGAAGUGGGGACUACUGUCUAAAUAAUAGAAUGAAUAUAACAUAGCAUAUUCUGGGUGAAAUAUCUUUCUUCUGAUAAUUUGUUUGAACAGAAAACAGUGACAAGUGAAAAAGAAACUUGGUUCAGGAGAGUGUUUCUUACUGAUUUGAAUGUUCUAAGUAGUAGUGACAAUGUACUUACAUUGGCAGGAUUCUUAACUUGAAGUCAGUCACAGUGCUUCUCAGGAAUUCCCUAUACUCAGUGUUAACUGUGAAGAGUGGGAGUUCCAGGCUAAAAUGAUAAGGACUAUGUACCUCAGGCAAGGUCAAUUUAAAGGUUACAAAGUUUGGAUUGCUAUGAAAACAUUAAAUACAGAAAGGUGUUCCCUUGCCCAGAGCUAUGUAGUGCCAGUUUUCCAAAUCAGAGGAACUUCUCUCUUCCCUGGACAUUCUUGAUCUGACUCUACUCUCUCGAUUCCCAGAAUUCAGGUAUAAUAGUUAUGUUUUUUCAUUGUCCUGAUGAUGUCAGAUAAAUAGAGAUUGGUUACAAGUACUCCAAGGAUGCAUUCUUCAAUAUGUGAUUUUUGCAACCUGGUAUAUUUAAAGAAAGGGGCUUUGAUUCUAUGACAGGGUUAUUUUUGUCUACCUCUUCAACUCAGAAACCACAGAUACUUAAAAAUGCCCACUAAGCAUCAGGAAGUUGUGUUAGUUGGAUGAGGGAAGGAGGGGUGUGGUGUGUGUGUAUAUAAAUACAUGUAUGUGGAAAGGAAUAUCUAUAUUAUAGUUAACAUUUAAAACAUGGUUGUGACAAAAAAUAAAACCAACUGUAGCUAUGGCUUGGACCUAUCUCUUUUGCAGUUAUCUUCCUAUUAGUAGAUAAUCUACUUGGUGAAAUUGCAUGGUACAAGAGGAUUAUUAAUAAAGAAUCAUUUAAAAAAUGGCUAGUUCAUUCAGAGUAUUUUCCAUACUCCUGCUGUUGUUAUUGCAAUAACUUUCCAAAGUAAUUUUCUAAAUCCAUGAAUGCUCUUUCAAUGAAUAUAAUUUUUCUACAUUAUCUUCCUACCUCUCUUUCUCUCUGCUUUUAUUAUCUUAAUUGAUAAUGAAACCCAGUAAGGUAAGUGAUUAUUUAGACCAAUAACAUGGAACAUACCAAUCACUCUUAAAUAUAGGACCCAAACUUAUACCACAGAAUUGUGUGUGUGUGUGUGUGUGUGUGUGUAUGGACUUGAAUUGAUUUUUAUUUUAAAUUCCACUUCUUUGCAUGGUAGACAACUUCUCUUAGAUUUCCAAAGAUAAAAACAUAGAUUCAUUCAUUCAUUUAUUCACUGUUUGAGUGCUUAGUAGGUGUCAGGCUCUGUUCUUUGUGUUAAAUAUUCAAUGGUGAAUGAAAUUCAUGUGAUUUCUAUUCUUAUGGAGCUUACUCUUUCUCAGUGUUAAAUUUUCUACUCUCCUGAACUUACUUUCUAUAAUUCAUGUCUUUUUAUAUUUAAGUGCUUCCAUGUCACUAAUAAGAGUUUUCCUCAUGAGAAGAACAGAUUUGUAUUUUGCUAUUCUGGGAUAAACAAGACCAAUAUCUUUACAUUUUUCUUGCAGAUCCACAUCCUUAUCUCUUUGGAAACAAUGAAUGCUUUUUGCUAUUCUCUUUCAAAUUUAAAGUUCAAUUGAGUAAAAUAUUAAUAUAUGCUGAUGUAAUGUUGACUAUAAAGUAUUAACUCCUGUCUCGAUUGUGGUUUAUUAGUCAUGCUUGAAUUUUGUGUUUAUUGAUUAUAAACAUUUACUUUAAUUUUCUCAUAGAUUUUGAUUUCAAAUGUAAUUUUUGCCACAUAAAUGCCCAUUCAAACUCUGUAAUUUGGUCCUUAUCCUUAAUGUACACAUUCUAAUAAGCUGUAGCUUUGUCCUUGUUAUAUUUUUAAUGUUUGUUUACUUUCUUUUAUUUUAAUGAGUGAUUUUUUCCAAUUAUCAAGAUUCUUUUCAAUUUACCAUCAUAUUUUUCUAUAGGACCUGAAAUUUAACUAACUUAGAUCAAUGAAAUCAUCGAUUGGUUUUAUUGGAUUGAUUAGUUGUACACAACAAAUCUAAUUUAGUUCUUAAACUGGUCCUAAUAACUAGACUCACUUCUUCAUAACCUCAUUAUUUCAAAUGGUUAAAAUAAACAUUAAAUCAACUGAACACUCAAAAGCCUAUCCCAAAAUAUGCCCACAGAUGUAAUUUCAAGUUCUUUUUUAAUUCAUUUCAUUAGCUGUGAAGGUUUUAGAGAUUUAUGUUUUUACAAAAACAGUUUUAAAUAUCUCCCUCAUUUAUUGCUCAUGACUGUUGGUCACCAUCUUAGCCAAGUCUUUGAAAGUGGCUAGAUGACUCUGUCAGACUUCAUUAGGCAAUGACAGGUGUCAUGUGUGCCAAAGAAGUUAAAUAUCUUUCCUGUAAGUUUUGAUUACUUAACUUAUCAAAAGCUCUGAGGGUGAGGGCUUCUCUAGCUUUGCAAUGUAAUUGGUGUAAUAUACAAAUAAUGUACUAACAUUAGAGGCUGGAGAUGUAUAGACCAAAUUUGACUUUAAUUUACUGAGUAAUUUGGAUUACUUUAUUCCUUUCACUAGAUUUUAAUUCUAUGUGAAUUCAAUUAGUGACUUUCCAUAAUGUGCAUUAAGAAUCACCUGGGGGAGCCAGUUUAUAAAUUUAGGUUUUCAGGUCCUAUUCAGCAGGUCUCAACACAUUUAAACAAGCAUCCCAGCUGGUUUGGAUGCAAUUGAUAUACAUUUGGAGAAACUUGGACCAGCUCUCUAAGCAUUUUCUAGCUCUAAACAUUUUGGCUUUAAAGUAAAGAAAAUUAGUAAUUCAAAGAUAGUGAAUCAGCGAUAGGCAGCCCCAUAAAGAAUUGGUAUUUUGGAGAAGUCUUAGUUACAACAUACAGAAUGUGUAACUCCAUAUUCUCAAAGAGGUCAAUGUCAAGAUAGGGUUAAGCAUACAUUCAGUUUAUUAGGAAAAAUGCCUAUGUGAGAAAAAACGGGAUGAAGCAGAAUAAUCUAGGAGAGUAGUCAGACUGCAAUGCAGAGUCUGAUCUGUAAUGAAAGAGACAGGCAGGGAAGGUGUGGUCUGAGGGUCUUAGGCUAACAUGCAGUCUCAGGAAGAUUUGUCAAGGUCAUCAGGAAGUUCUUGAGCCUGAGUUAGCUGUCAGAGGAGUACUGGGUCUUCCAAGAACAUGCCUGCUCUAGUAUCUCUAACAUAGGUAGUCACAGGUUAGAAGUAGUUCAUAAGAAACAUUUCCUUGGAACAAAUAUAAGGUUGGAUUUUUAGAGCGUAGGGGUUAAGGCCCUUGGUUAAUUACAUGCCUCCUAUAUACAGAUCUAUGAGGUGUGUUCUCACAGUUACCACAGAGAGGCAAAUCAUUUUUAAUAUCAGCAUCAGUUGCUGGGAAAUUUAACAGCUAUUUAGACACUAUCACAUAAAAAAAUCCAGAUUUUAUCCGAACAAGAUCAACAAUCAAUAAAAGAUGAGAGUGAUUCAAGAAGUAUAAAAUAAUUACCUUGCUCUCAAAAUGUAUUAGUUGUAAUAGGCUGUUAUCCUAUGACAUGAACAACUGAUAUGAUAGGAUAACAGCUAUUAUCCUAUGAUAUCCUAUGAACAGCCCCCAAAUUUCACUGGUUUAAAACAACAAAAGCCAGUAUCUUGAUCAUACUACAUCCUCUGUACAGACUGGAAGGGAGGUUCUGUUUUGGUGUUUCAAGAAGUCCAGUUGAGUGAGGCUUCACCUAUUUAUAGAGGCCAUAAUUAUAUAAUCUCCAGUAAUAUGUUAGAGAAAGAGAAGACUAAAGAUUCAAGUAUAAAUUUUUGACACAGAAGUUAUAGAUACAGCUUCCAUUCACAUUUUAUUUUCUAGAAUUAGUUACAUGCUUAUGCAGAAAAUUGGAAUCUUCACGUAUCUAGAAGUUAAAGAGAAUAGACACUGGUGAAUAGUGAUGUUUACCAAAAUAUGGCUCCUUGCAAACACUGUCACUGGUAUAUAGUGGCUGAUUACAUCAUCCCUACGAGUCCUGGAACUCAGAAAUCAAAUAUGGCUAAAAUAAAACCUUGGUUCAAUGCUUUUUGUAUUAUUUUGAAAGCAGUGAAGCAUGGAGGACAAGGCUUAAACAAAAAAAGUCAAGAAAUCUUUUAGAAUAAAAAUAGACUCUUUCUCUGAAUUGCUGUGUGAUUUUAGAAUUUAUCUUAUAUUUCUGAGCCUUACUUUUCUCAUUUGAAUAAUGAAAGGAUGGAAUUGACUAUCCAAAAAUAUAUUCCAGAAUUCAGUUACUUCUGAUAAUAAAAGUAACAUUAAUAGCAAUAGAAAUGCAACAUCAUCUAGCAUAUGUAGAGUAAACUGCUGAGGAAAGCUCUUCAUUUCCACUCCACAGGGAGAGUAUUGUUCUAACACUGAAUUCUGGGGAUUGUCAAUUUCUCUCAAGGUAUUCAUGAUAUUUUGUGAAUAAAGGACUCUUUGGGAUGCGGAGGGGAGCAUGCCCAGCAUGCCUAAGACACAUGCACAUGAUCCUCGUCCUUUGAAUUAAUAGUACUGAGACACAUUCUGCCCAGCUUCUCACAGAGUUCCAACAGGAUCAAGCUUAAAACAUCACCAAUUCACAAAGCACCCUUGGAUUUUCUCUACCCAUCCCUGCCCUCACUCCAGUUUCCCUAGAACCACUCCCAAAAUUAAUUGCCUGCCUUCAAAAGUCCUUGCCUUGGUCGGUCAUCCAAAGGGGAAACCUAGGCUAAGACAGCAGAGUAAUCUCAGUCGAAUUAGAGAAUAGAGCAUCAAAGAUGGCAAGGGUCUUAAAUGUUUUUAGGUACAACCAUUUUCCAGUGUAUGGUUCCUCUCUCAAGUCAGUUUCUACUUCUUGAAAGAACUCUUUAUGGGGUUAUCUGAUCCUUUCAUAGCAACUGCAUAUGUUAAACCAGCUUCUUAAAGCUGGUUUCAUGAGAAUAUGGAGCGUUAAGCAUAGUCAGGGAGUCACCGCUUAAGAACUGAGAAACUCCAGAGUUUUGAUCUGAUCCAGUUUUCUCUAGCUGUGGUGAAGGGAUGUUGAAAAAAAGCACUAAAAGGGAUCCAAAUUACUGCAAUUCUGCAAUGCAGUUCUGUACUCUUCAUGUGCUAAUUUGAUAACUAAGAAUGUACAUCAAUUAGAAAAAGAACAAUGUGCAUCAGAAAAAUAGUAAGAAUAAAAAGAAUAAGAUACUCCUAAAAUACAGAUGCCUCUACAUUUAGAGAAAUGUAUACUAAAUAUAUGCUACAUGUAUUUGGUAAAUAGAUAAACAAAUAAUAGCUCUAAAGUAUAGCAUAGAUGUACUUCGUAGUGCUUCCUGAAUAAGCAGGGGUACUGUCAAACACAGAAGCUCUGACUUUCUUCUUCCCUGUUCUCUCUGACCAAUUGCCCUGAGACAUACUGGUUAUCAGCUGCUGAUGGACCAAUACUUCAGGACAGCGUAACUGUGCUACCUUGAAUGCAUCCAAGCUACACUGAAGAACAGUAAGAAAAGCUGAUGAACAUUCAGAUGGGUCACAAAGAGACACAUCACUUGCAAAAGUCAAGAAAGUGUAGGAAAUCCUGCCCUGACUCCAAGUGCAUUAGCCUCUAUUUAGAUAGAUGUGCAUGAAAUUUAAUAAAUGAUUUGUGAUCUAUCUGGGGAGACAUUCUUUAACAAUGCAUUUAUUUCAUGAAGUGUGAAUGUGCUCUUAAUAAAUCAGACUAUAAUCGACAGAUUUAAAAUUAAUUGGAUCUUGUUAGAUGGUAUAUAUCCUUCUUUAGCAUCUGAUUAUAAGGCAAGGUAUAAAUGCUAUAUAAUUUAAUGCAUAGCAAAAUAUUUGUAUGAAACAAAGUUUCAAAAUAUGGUUCUAGCUUCAGGAAAAGAUUUUAUUAGCCUUUGUUAUAGAGAGCUAGUAUACAAUGACUUCUUAUUGCAAUAGGUGUUAUUUCAUUUAAAAUAUUCAGCAAUUUUUCAGAGUUAGUUAAAACAACAUGCAAUAUCUGGACCCAAAAGAAGCUGUGGAUUCCUCCAAAUAAAAUUAAAGUUGUUUAAGACUUA